GAUGAACGCUGGCGGCGUGCUUAACACAUGCAAGUCGAACGGAAAGGCUCCUGCUUGCAGGGGUACUCGAGUGGCGAACGGGUGAGUAACACGUGGGUGAUCUGCCCUGCACUUCGGGAUAAGGCGGGGAAACUGGGUCUAAUACCGGAUAGGACGAUGGUUUGGAUGCCAUUGUGGAAAGUUUUUCGGUGUGGGCUGAGCUCGCGGCCUAUCAGCUUGUUGGUGGGGUAAUGGCCUACCAAGGCGUCGACGGGUAGCCGGCCUGAGAGGGUGUACGGCCACAGUGGGACUGAGAUACGGCCACGACUCCUACGCGUGGCAGCAGUGGGGAAUAUUGCAAAAUGGGCGCAAGCCUGACGCAGCGCCGCCGCGUGGGCGAGGACGGCCUUCGGGUUGUAAUCUCCUUUCGCUAGGGACGAAGCGUUUUGUGACGGUACCUGGAGAAGAAGCACCGGCUAACUACGUG
rnacentral:rRNA from 1 species